UACGGAGGGGGCCAGCGUUGUUCGGAAUUAUUGGGCGUAAAGGGCGCGUAGGCGGCCGUUCAAGUCGAACGUGAAAUCCCUCGGCUCAACCGGGGAACUGCGUCCGAUACUGUGCGGCUUGAGUCCUGGAGAGGGUAGUGGAAUUCCCAGUGUAGCGGUGAAAUGCGUAGAUACUGGGAGGAACACCGGUGGCGAAGGCGGCUACCUGGACAGGUACUGACGCUGAGGCGCGAAAGCUAGGGGAGCAAACAGG
rnacentral:rRNA from 1 species